rnacentral:rRNA from 1 species
GAUGAACGCUGGCGGCGUGCCUAAUACAUGCAAGUCGAGCGAACGGACGAGAAGCUUGCUUCUCUGAUGUUAGCGGCGGACGGGUGAGUAACACGUGGAUAACCUACCUAUAAGACUGGGAUAACUUCGGGAAACCGGGGCUAAUACCGGAUAAUAUUUUGAACCGCAUGGUUCAAAAGUGAAAGACGGUCUUGCUGUCACUUAUAGAUGGAUCCGCGCUGCAUUAGCUAGUUGGUAAGGUAACGGCUUACCAAGGCAACGAUGCAUAGCCGACCUGAGAGGGUGAUCGGCCACACUGGAACUGAGACACGGUCCAGACUCCUACGGGAGGCAGCAGUAGGGAAUCUUCCGCAAUGGGCGAAAGCCUGACGGAGCAACGCCGCGUGAGUGAUGAAGGUCUUCGGAUCGUAAAACUCUGUUAUUAGGGAAGAACAUAUGUGUAAGUAACUGUACACAUCUUGACGGUACCUAAUCAGAAAGCCACGGCUAACUACGUG